rnacentral:rRNA from 1 species
CGCUAUCACUCCUACGGGGAGCAGCAGUAGGGAAUCUUCCACAAUGGGCGCAAGCCUGAUGGAGCAACACCGCGUGAGUGAAGAAGGGUUUCGGCUCGUAAAGCUCUGUUGUUAAAGAAGAACACGUAUGAGAGUAACUGUUCAUACGUUGACGGUAUUUAACCAGAAAGUCACGGCUAACUACGUGCCAGCAGCCGCGGUAAUACGUAGGUGGCAAGCGUUAUCCGGAUUUAUUGGGCGUAAAGAGAGUGCAGGCGGCUUUCUAAGUCUGAUGUGAAAGCCUUCGGCUUAACCGGAGAAGUGCAUCGGAAACUGGAUAACUUGAGUGCAGAAGAGGGUAGUGGAACUCCAUGUGUAGCGGUGGAAUGCGUAGAUAUAUGGAAGAACACCAGUGGCGAAGGCGGCUACCUGGUCUGCAACUGACGCUGAGACUCGAAAGCAUGGGUAGCGAACAGGAUUAGAUACCCUGGUAG